GACGGAGGGUGCUAGCGUUGUUCGGAAUCACUGGGCGUAAAGGGCGCGUAGGCGGCCCAUGCCGUCGGCUCGUGAAAGCCCGGGGCUCAACCCCGGAGGUGCAGCCGAGACCCAUGGGCUGGAGGCCGGAAGAGGAGGGUGGAAUACCCAGUGUAGAGGUGAAAUUCGUAGAUAUUGGGUGGAACACCGGUGGCGAAAGCGGCUCUCUGGUCCGGUUCUGACGCUGAGGCGCGAAAGCGUGGGGAGCAAACAGG
rnacentral:rRNA from 1 species